UGGGGAAUAUUGCACAAUGGGGGAAACCCUGAUGCAGCGACGCCGCGUGAGCGAAGAAGUAUCUCGGUAUGUAAAGCUCUAUCAGCAGGGAAGAAAAUGACGGUACCUGACUAAGAAGCACCGGCUAAAUACGUGCCAGCAGCCGCGGUAAUACGUAUGGUGCAAGCGUUAUCCGGAUUUACUGGGUGUAAAGGGAGCGUAGACGGAGAAGCAAGUCUGGAGUGAAAACCCGGGGCUCAACCCCGGGACUGCUUUGGAAACUGUUUUUCUAGAGUGCCGGAGAGGUAAGCGGAAUUCCUAGUGUAGCGGUGAAAUGCGUAGAUAUUAGGAGGAACACCAGUGGCGAAGGCGGCUUACUGAACGGUAACUGACGUUGAGGCUCGAAAGCGUGGGGAGCAAACA
rnacentral:rRNA from 1 species